AGCUGUGGUGGGGCAUACCUGUAAUCUCUACUUCAGGGAAUUUCAAGGCUGGUGGAUUACUUCAGGAGUUCUGAUCUACAGUGGAACUAGAGCCAGUGGAAAGUCUUCACUAAGUCUAGUGUCAAUAUGGUGAGCCCCUUGGAGCAGGGUAUCACCAGGUUGUCUAGGGAGGAGUGAACUGAACAUGGCUGAAAAGGGAGCAAGUCAGAAUUUCUUGCCAGGCAGUAGUGGGAUCCAGUCUGUAAAGGGUCAUUGUACUUCCAAUCCAAGUGGCAUAGGGAUGUCUGGUCUCAA
ensembl:misc_RNA Metazoa_SRP Metazoan signal recognition particle RNA